UCUCUGAAGUGAUCAGGUAACCUCCUCCAGUCAUAGGAUUCAGGCCAACAGUUUCUUUAUAUCCUUCUGCAAAUAGAAAUAGCAACCAUUAGAAGUUUUCACACCCAGCACACAGACUAACUAAUAAUUUAAUUAUAAUCUUUAUUAAUUUAU